UUAUUGAUUUAUAUGAGCUAUUUAAAUAGGAAAAAAGGAAGUUAGCAGUAUAUAUGCCUUAUGUGUUGCAUAUAUUUUUCCAGUCUGUUAUUGCAUUUUCUGCUUUGUUUAUGGAAACUUAAUUGAUUUUAAUAUAAAAAUUCCUGGGAAAAUUGACCUAUUUAAUGAGACUGCAGUAGAAUUUUUAUCUAGAUCUAUUUAGAUUUACCUGUAACUUAUAAUGAAAAUCUAUGUACCUUAUAGUUCAAGAUAAUUAUUUACUAAUAGCAGAAAAUGUUAAUGCCAUAUAUGUAGUAUUAUUAUUCAAGACAUUUUCUUUUCUUUAUUUAUAGAUCAAGCUUCUGAAAUUCAGGUGACAAUGAUGCUCACUGAAAGUUGUAAGCUGCGAGGUCUUCAUCACAGGCAAUUUCUCAGCAAGACCUGGUACACAUGGCUAUUCAGAUUGCCUGUGGAAUGAGCUACCUGGCCAGAAGGGAAGUCAUCCACAAAGACCUGGCUGCCAGGAACUGUGUCAUUGAUGACACACUUCAAGUUAAGAUCACAGACAAUGCCCUCUCCAGAGACUUGUUCCCCAUGGA
rnacentral:sRNA from 1 species